GAAAAAAAAACAAGACCUCCCAAUUUGUGACCCAGGCUUUAGGCUGGGUCAGGCUUGGUAUUGUAUAUAACUUUUAACGAAAGUGGGAGUGUUUAAAUUGGAAAAAAUGGGAUUCAGAGGGCGUUUCAUUUUUCGCUGAAAUUCAGGGUUUUUUCUGAGUACAAUUGGGCCUCCUCUUUAACAAGCUCUGUGGAGUUCAUUGCACAACCUGGGACUGACUUCAACCCUGUAAAAUUUGAAAAGCCAUGCAUCCGGUUCCUUUUCAUGCGACUCCUGCAGCACCUUCUCCUCCCUGGUUCCCGAUGUUACCCCCUAAUCCACCACAGUCGACUCCUUUUUGGGACACCAAAAAUGUGCAUGAUCGGCUGAAAGAGUUACAAGACACGUUAACUCUAGCUACAUCAAUGCAGAAAGAGCUUGAGAUGUUGAUGACAAUCAAAAGCACUGAAGGCUCUGUGGAAGAUGGGGAAGGGGAAUCUACCAACCCUUAUGCAUGUGGGUUUUACAAGUAUUUGAAAGAUAGGAAAAUUGAUUUGGAAGCACAGGAAUCACUUUCGGUGAAUGCUGCAAAUGCUUUGAUGUCAAGAUUAAGAGCUCAAUUAGAGCCAUUUAGAGUUAUUAUAGAUGAUGCCACUCCAUGGGAAGAGAAAUCAAUGGCAGCUAGAUUGUCUAAUAAAAUAUUGAAGUCCAAGCGUAAUAAACUUUGGAGGAAGAGGAAGAGACAACGUGCUGCAGAAAUCCGCACAAAGGAGCAUGAACAAUUUGAUCAAGCUGAUCGUGUAGUUGAUGAAUGGAGGGCUAGGGAGAUAGCAAGGGAUGCUGCACAACUCAAGGUGGAAAAGAUGAAAGAAAUUGCAAAGCUUAAAGCAAAAGAAGAGAGGAAGAGGCUAGAAUCUGAGCUUGAGCUGGUAUUGGUUGUGGAGAAGUUGCAAGAAUUGCGCUCCAUCAGGAUUCAAAAAAUGAAGAAACAAGGACAUUUUCUCCCCGAGGAGGAUGACAAGUUUCUUGAGAGAGUUCGAGCUGCAGUUGAGGAAGAAGAGCGCCAAGCAAUGGCUGCAGCUGAAACAGAUGCUGCCAAGGGUGCCAUAGCAACGGCUGAGGAAUCUAGGAAAACAAUCCAGAGUGGUGGGCCGCACUCAAAAGAUGCAAGUGAUGACAAAGAUGGAAUGAAGGAAAGUAAUGAUGAAAUAAACAAGAGCACGGACAAUUUAGGCUCCGGUGCAGCUCCUGGUCCAUCUGGAGAAAAAGGAUCCAAAGGUCAACUUUAUGGUGGAGCUUAUGAUUCUGUAGCAAAUUUGCCAAUUGAAUUCUACCACUAUUAUCAUGGCAGCAAUAACGAUAUGGGCACACUUAUCGAGGUUAGAAGAACAUGGGAUGCGUAUAUAAGACCAGGAGGAAGCCGCAUACCAGGGCACUGGGUUCAGCCACCACCUCCGGCAGAUGAUAUAUGGGCAUCCCACCUCGUUAGGCCUAAAUGAAUGGAUUGCAACCAAGUAUCAGUUUGGCUUCUGCACCUACUAAUCCUUCCCAUGUCGGUGUAUUGUGAAGAAACUGGGGACUUUUAUGCAGCUAUACAAGUCUGCAAACUUUCCUUGUUUACAAUAAAAUUCUGGUGCAUAUAACGGACCGUAAAGCCCGGAAAAAAGGAAAUAGAACUACUUGCAUAGCCUGAAGUUUCCUAGGUUACAAAAACCUCUGCAAUUUAUCCUCAUCGCACAAUCUGGAGGCUCUGUGAAUGAAAUAAGUAAACCUGUGACUUUCAUCAAUACCCACCCAUGGCCAAUCCAUCAGCACAGAUACUGGCUUCUGUAAACACGGGUAACUGUCAUAUCCCAAUCCUUGUGGAGAAACCCUGAAAUAAGUUUAAUCCAGCUGCUAGCACAAGGCUCGUGCAUCGGUCCCUGUAUGUUACCUCUGAUGGAAUGAUACACUGAUUCACAACCUGCCUCCAACCGCACAGCCGUUAAGUCAGAAAUCCUUUCCGAAUCUAAACCAAAUUUCACCGCCCAAAGUUUCUUGCCCCAUUCUCCCUCAUUUAUAGUAACUGAACUGGACAAUUUGUUUGAACAGCCAACUGCGCCGCUUGGCAAAUGGUUAGCUGUUCUGUAUUCAUUUCAGUAUAUUUCUCAAAAUAAAGAAAACCCAUUAACAUUUAACAGUUCCUGGUUCUUGUUCAGACAACAUGGUAUCCUUCAACUAGUGAUGUUCAUCUCCAGAAAGUCUAGUUGACUGAAACAAUAAACUCAUUUUAAGUUAAAAGCAUCUGGUGGCUCACCUACAUGUUAAAGCAGUGAUAAUGUCCUCCAUUUAAAUUUUCCUUUCGGAGAAAAAGUUCUCCAGUGGUUUUACCUUGUCCAUUAUCCAGAGUAUUCUUGCCUUUCACAAGAUAAAUGUUUAGCUUGGCCUGGCGGAUUCAUUGAGUAUAAAUGGACUUUUCUUCAGGGGAAAGAAAAAUCAGUAGCUAUCGUUUAAAAAUAUAGUCUUUUCAAUUGAAAGAUCAGGAUAGAAAAGUGAGAUGCAAGACUGGACAGACAUUGAUAUUUAGCCGAGGGUUCAAGACGGCCCGUCAUGAGAAAUUCCGGGCAUCCUACGAUUCGGCAAAUUAAUCUGCGAAGGCAUUUUAUGAUUGUUAGAGAGGCCUCAAUUUAUAGAGUUCCUUACCCCUCUGCUGGGACCUUCGCAUUGCAUCGGAGUUUAAAGAGAUGACAAUUUCAAGUAUAAUUAUACAUGUACGAAAAUCAGAUCUGUGAACUCAAAAUCACAAGAAAUAGAUCAAAGUUCAUGCGAAAUCUGUCAUUCGAUCCUAAUUUUCGAAGGCAAACUUGGAAAAUGAGUGCACUUUUAUAGCACUCCCUCCAUAGGUACCUUCGUUGCAAAAACUUUAAAUCCACUCCAGACAAGAAGAUAGAAGUAUAGGAAAUCAUAGAUGCUCAGUGAA